rnacentral:tRNA from 3 species
GCGGAUGUAGCCAAGUGGAUCAAGGCAGUGGAUUGUGAAUUCACCAUGCGCGGGUUCAAUUCCCGUCGUUCGC